ACACACACUAGGCUCAUAUAAGGGCCAGCUGCUGAAAGGAUAGAUUCUCUUGACUGAAGCUGCUUUCUGAGGAGGUCUGUAUAGCUGUAGAGCCCCUUCACCAGUUGGCUCCAGGGCUUCUACCACCUUCCAGGACAUGAGAUGGCUGAAAUGAGGAAACUGUCCAUAGCUGCAUAAUCCAUACCAGUGAAAGCAGAUCUACAAACAUUUAGUAGCAAUCAAUCACUUAUACAUUCCUUGCUGUGUGCUAUCAAAGUGUCUUCUCAAACAAAAAUCUUAAGUUCCAUGAGGAGGCGUUGGUACAUAUUCAAAGCCAUGAAGUGGGAAGACAAGUAGUUUAAUUUCAAAACUGCGUUAAAGUGAAUUAUAACAAUGGCAUUGAAAAAGUGAAAUAAUCCUGAACCUAACAAAUACAAUCAAAACAUGAUUCAAAAAAGAAGUUGUUUCAGUAUGACUGACAGAUACACUUGGAACUCUAUUGGAAGCCAGUAAGACACUACUUCUAGGAGACAGAAACCCUUCCUGACUGUAUGAAUGGAUGGAGAAAGAUCAUGUGCUGUGCCAAGAGGAAGGGCAGAUCACUGAAAGACAAAAGGAACACUUUGUCAAUACCUAAAAAUAUUGAGGAAACUGAGAAAGAAUCGUAUUUGUCCAGCAAACGUUCAGCUUUCAUACUUGGGGUUUAUGCCUCUGCAGAAUUUGAUAUCAAAUGCAACCAAGUAGAGCUACAGAGGAGAUGUGGCAGCAGAAAAAGACUCUUCAUCAGCCCACGAUGCCAAUGAGAGAGGUAACUUUGGAGUAAAAGUGCUGUGGCAAAAGUUGUAUUAAUCCACAAGUGUUCCAGCAGAUGUUCUUAAGAUUCUUUAAGGAAAAUAUUCCGCUUUUUGGUAGAUACUGACCAAAAUGACUCCUUGGUGUAAAGUAUCUUACAUCAAACAUUUAUUUUGUUCUACUAACAUGUUUAUAAAAUCAUUUUUUAAAUUUUUUUACUUAUUCAUAAUCCUUGUUUUACUUGUGCUCACAACUGCUAUGUAAAGCAUUUAAUUAUUUUGAUACACAAAAUACAAAUAGUUGAGAUCAAGUCUAGUUGCAGAGAUCUCUUACAAAACUUAAAUUUGUGAUACUGAAAUUAUAUUAAGGUCCUUAAAUUCAGUACCAGCUGUCCAUGCAACCAUCUAAUGCAUCUCAAUAAUUUGCUUAUACUCUAUUAACAAAUUCCCAUUCAACCCUAACUUGGUACAAGAUGCCAUGUGUACCAUCAGUGAUAGAUGCAGUAAUUCAAAACAGGUAUGAAGAUAUGUUCUGAUCAUCAGAGUACAGGAUGUAGAAAUAAAAGCUUCUGUCCAUAAUGAGAAGUGAAGGAAAUUUAUGGUAUCCAUACCCAUAACUUAUUUCACUGCUUCACAAUUUUCCACUGAAAAUAUUUGUUGUGCAGUAUUUUCUUAUGACAUAAAUCAUUCACUAGCUAUUAAAAGAAAAUGUUCUACUCUUAUUUCUGCCAGACCUUGCUGUUACUGUCAAACACCUUUCAGAACACGAAUGCUGAAGAUCCUUAAAAAAUUCGUAUACAUGUAGAUGAGACUUUGAAAAGCAGGUACAUUUUUUUGGAUCCCAAAAAUUCUAUGCAGUUGCAACAAGAACUUUGAAACAGUAUCUGUUCAACUCAGUUCUUUAGAGUUGCCAGUACUAAUAUGACGGAUAAUCAUUUGUAAUUUAUUUUGUGCUAAGUGAUGUGCGCCGCCAAAAUGUGCUGUUAAAAUCUGCUGCUAAAGCAUAGUCCAAUUCUGAAAUAUAUGAAUGAUCAUCUGAUAUAAUUUGUCCAAAUACACAAAAGUAUUAGAAACUGGUCUUUUUAAAAAAUGAUAUGAUUGCCACUUAGUGCACUCAUUCAAUGACAUCUAAAAUUGUAUAGCUAAUGCUUUUAAAUACAAAGAACUGUCACACUUAUUUCAGAUGAAGAUGCACACAAAGGUAUGGGUAAUGUAUCUUGUAAUAGUACAAACCCUGUGGGCAGUAUUCUGCUUUGCCAAGACAAAAGUGAGGUAGUGCAAUACAAAUGAGUAGUGCGAGCAGUUAAUCAUCCAGUUAAUCAACAUGACAGCCUGGUUCUCCUACGUUUAAACCAUUUUGCCAUUAAAAAAAAAGAAAAAAAUCCACACGUGCAUUCUCACAAAAACCAGCACACAAAUACAGACCUGAUCUCACUUAAAGGAAAAAAAAAAAAUUUUUUUCCCCAUUGUACUACUGAUAAAUAACAGAACAUCAGCAUUCCUUAACGCAAUAUUUGUAGAUUGCAAAUCUACCAAAAGUUUAUUAAAAGAAGAUAAUUUACAAGCUUUCAUUCUUUUUAAUAUUAUUAGUCAGUGCUAACACUAAUUGUUUUAAGCUACCAAAUUUAUUCAAUUUCACUAUGAUUACAUUCAACAAAACUGCAUUUAAGCCAGCAGAUUGUGAUAUAUCAAAGUAUCAACCAUUUCAGCCAUAUCAGUGAUUUUAAGGAAAAGAUCAUAUAUUUCCCCUGAUUAUUUCAAAGAAACAAUGAUUCUGCAAGUGUCACAAGCUUUGUUUUGGGAUACAGACCAAUGAAUAUUUGCAUACAAACACAGUCAUUCAAAAAGCGCUAUAUAAUCACAUUAAACAGCUCAUUCAGUUUGGAUAGGGAAAGUUAAUUUAAACUAAGGAACACUGAGCACUUAUAAGGAUCUAAAAGAGAGAAUUGAUCAGCAGACCCAAACACAUUUCACAAUUAUCAAUACCACAUUGCUUUUUGAGGUUGAAUGUUCUGGAAAUGGAAUAGCAAUUUUAUUAAUUAGAUAUGGUUCCUCUUCACAGUCGUUGAUUGUCCUUUACUUAGAAAGAGCGAACGCUUAGUUUACAAAAUAAAUUAAUCACAGAAAUGUCUCCAUUUUAUCUAUAAUCAAUCACUCUGCCUGUUUUUUGCCUUGAAUCUACCAGUUCAUCUUCUUUAUACUGUUCUAGUAUUGUGCCUUGUUCUCAGAUACCGCAUAAUCAGUUUUCAGUUUAUAUUUACCAAUACAGCUUUCUUUAAUCAUAUUUUUCAUGAGCACAAGUCCUCAAGAAGAUAUUUCCAGUAAUAAAAGCUGCACUGCCAGUUAGAUUAGUUUUGCACAGUAUGUAAUACACUGGGUUUACUGUGGCUAGAAGGUAGUUUUACCAAGAUAUUCAGCUUGGAUGUCUUAUCUCAUUCAUCAAACUCUUGUCAACCAAAGAAGGAGGAGAAAAACAUCAGAAAAUCUUGAAAUGCUUUCAUAGUCACAUAUUUCUGUCAAUCAGUGUAAUCCUGUGGAUAAGCUGGACAAUAACAGUGUACACAGUUUCUUUGUUCACUACUAAUGUCUACAUUUUAGACAGUGGGACCUAAACACAGAUGACGUUAUGUUGAUUUUUAAAUCCUAGCUAGAUUCAUUUGAUCACAGUUCCUACAUGAACAACAUCACUGUGUCUAGCUUUUCUAUGUCCAUUUGUUAUAAUUUGAAUUUGACCUAUCCUUUAAAUAUCAGCAGUCCAUGUUAACACAGUGAGAUAUAGAUAUGAAAAUCAAGCGUGAAACAUUAUCAGUUUUGUAAGCAUGUAUGUCUGUUCCAGCUCUUUUAACUGUGAGUCCACUUAAACUUUGUAACUAUACAGUCUGGUUUUACUGAUUUAACAAAAAAUAAUUUUUCAUGUUACUAUUUCUUCUUGUUAAAAACUAUUUUUGCUUUGAUAUUUCCUGUGAAGUCAUUACCAGUAAUGCAUAUGUCUCUAGGUACCUAUCUGCUCUAGAUAAUAUACAGUAUAUAAAUUCCAAUAUAUCAUUAUUGGAAUGUCCAUGUCUCCAUUUCACUGACACACUACAGUUAACUCCAGUAAAAUUAUCAGUUCUUCCUUAACAAACGAUUAUUUCCCAUAAAGAGAGAGAUGUUUCCUAUCAUUUGCAAACAUUGGAUUUUUGUGAUCAGUGUGAAUGUUUUUGACAUCCCUGUUCAAAUGGUGAAUUCAAUUUCUACUUUGAUUAUCACCAGCAGUCAAAAUUUUGAUAGAAGGAAAGGUAAAAACUAAGGAAUCUAUGAAGCAAGAGAGAAGGUAGGUAAAAAAUUCAAAUCCUGUCACAAAUACUUCUAGUACAAGAUUUACAGAUUUGCUCAGGUUAAAAACUGGUAUAAAGUGAACAUGGAAACGACCAUUGAUUUUAAUGUUUGGAACAUGGAUUCUUCCUUUUUUAACUGCUUUUUAAUUAAAAAAAAAAAAAAAAAAAACAAUAACAAAACAUUAAAAUGAUUAUAUGACAGAAAAAAAUAAUACUUUUAAAUGAAUAUUUAUAAAACUUUUAAUAUUCAUGAUACUGAGAUUUUGUUAGCUGAAAAUCAAAUAAUUUAAAUUGUAUUUAAUAUCAGAAUGUUAAAAAUAUGAAAAGAAUCGUGGAAAGUUUUCAGUUCUUUAUGCAUGGUUCCAAGUAUAAAAUUGAUGAAAAAUCAGUGUGAUGAUUGAUGUUUGCUGUAAAUUUGUUCCACAGCUAUCUUUUAUCUUACUAGUUUGUUAGAACUAAAAAUACAGUUGGAAAGCAUGCAGACAGUACUAUAUGCUGACUACCACUUCCACCAGUGGCAAAUAUUAAAAUGAAAUAGUGCAAAAAUAAGGUAAAUUAAAUUAUUUUGCAACCCAUUAAAAAUAACCACUCUAUUUUUCUCUCCAAUGUCAUUUCUGAAUGCAAAUUAAUUAAAAAAUGAGAAAUCAUAAAAAUUGAUAAAAUGCUGUUUUCUUUCUAUGUAGUUUUUGGUAACAAUAAAUAAACCCAAGUCAAGAAGGAGCAUCAUCUUUGUUACUAGCCUCAGCAAAGAAAAUUUCUAGAUAAUCUCUUAUAUCACAGAAUCAGCACUUUUCUCCUUCUUAUUCUGCGAAUAUUUUGUAGCUUAACAAAGAUCUUUUUUUUCUCUUCAAAUAUCAAUAUAGCACCUUUCAGGGUUAUUACAUAUUAUUAAAAAGAAGUUGAAAUAAAAAACAACAAACUGCAUAUUUAAUGAAGUAGGCAAUAAAUGCUUUAAUGAUGAUUUUUGCUUUUCAUGUACAUUUUAGCUAGAAUAAUCCCAAACUACUUUAAACUAUGCUUCCUAACAUACUGGGAUUUGCACACUAAUGCAUUGAUUAUGAUUCCAUAAAUGAAAGCUAGAAUUUAUCCUCUUCUUUAUGUAUUAAUUAUACUAUGUGUCAUCCCUAAUCUUAGAGAAUUUAUUCACAGAGUAAAAAAUGAGACAAUAUAUGUCAAGUGGAUUUUUCUGAAAAUUUUUGUGAACCUCAGCCUUUUCCAUUGUUGUCACUAAUAAACUAUUUUUUAAAAUGUCAAUAAAACUGUGGUAUUCAAGUGAUUAUUAGUUAGAUUUCUUUAUGCUUUCAUUUAGGACAGGACAGAUCUUUAAAGUACUUCUAAGUAAGUGAUCUUGUCAAAUCUGAAGAUGCUUUUCUGCUCUAGUUUUCUGAUGUAAUAUAGUUUCAGUUGAGUUAUUGUGGGGAAGAUUUCUUAUUGUUUUAGUGCAAUGAUUAAAAGAACAGUUGCUAUUAGAAAGAUGUUUGUAACAUCCAACUUAAAUGUUCUUUGCUAUGGUUCAAUUGAAUUACUUCCUAUCUUACUCACUAGAAUUGGAACCAUUUAGUCCAGUGCUUUUUAUGCAAUGGCCUGUAUGCCUGAGGGCCAUUAUGUACAUCAUUUAAGCAAGUUAUUUCAGCUGU